rnacentral:misc_RNA from 1 species
UUGAAUCCUCAGGAUGUUGCUGGCCUUUCGGGGCAUGUGCACUCCGCCUUUCAAUACACCUGUGAACUUAUUGUAGGUGCAGAUGUAACAAGUCUGCUGCCUAUGUUUUUAAUACACUCUUAAAAAAGUAUAUUGAAUGUCUAAAUGUGGCCUUUGACGGUCAACAAACUUAAUA